AUGGCAUGCGCAUCAGUUGGCCGGGCAGCCCAUCUCGUCGCGGACCCUGAGGAAGACGAUGGCGGCGCCGUAGGCGAGCUGCCAGCGCGGCUCGCACUGGAAGAUGUAGUAGAUGGGCGGGAAGAAGGAGACGACGAUCAUGACGGCGAUGCCGGUGUAGUCGAGGCGGAUGAGGAAGAGGUUGAGGCGGUGCGAGUGGCAGGACAGCAGGUGGCACGCGCAGCUGCUCAUCAGGCAGAACAUGGCCCCCGCCAGGAACACGAAGAAGGGCCACCGCGUCGUCGGCCCCGCCCCCGCCGCCGCCGCCAUCGCCAGCCCCGGGCUCGCCUGCAUGAACGACGCCGCCCCCUGAAAAUGAGAAGCCACCGUCAAACAUGUCAGUUAGUAAAUCUCAGUUACCAUCAUCACCAUGCAUGA
rnacentral:rRNA from 1 species